rnacentral:lncRNA from 1 species
ACUCGGUCAAAGAUCUUCCUCGGGGAACGUAUAGGGAUGCGGAACGGCUAAGAAUGCUAACCCCCGAAGUUUGCGCCCUUCGACUGGAUCAAGCGAUUCGGUUGAUGAGGGAUCGGAUCAGCCGAGUUCGAAAAUCUCUACUGUAGAAUCGAUUCAGUUGGAUGAGUCGAAUGUAUGGACUAUGCAUAGAUUUGGACCGGCCAAAGAGCCGAAUAGGCAGAAAACACAGUGACUGGUCAGCUGAAAGAGCCGAAUGCUUUUAUAUAUUAAAAUAAAGUUGGGAACUCAUAUAAAAUAGAGUGUGCCCGAAGGGCAUAUAGAGUCUAGAUUACAACAGAGUGUGCCCGUGGGGCAUACAGAUUCCAGAGAUCUAACUUAAAAACUACUACUAGAAAAUCAAUAAAUGCAGGUAAAAAAAAUUACAUGUAGAACUACUUCUAGAAAAUGAUAAAUGUAGAAAAGGAAAGUAUUGAAACGGUGGUCUUCUCGUUCAGGGGAGAGAAAGACCUCUAUUGCAGGCUUCGAAAUUAGUAUUUAUAGUGAUGUCUUCUCAGCCCACAUUAUUGGCCGGUUUUUAGUAGUGGGGGGAGUGUAGUCAUGAUCGCGGAAGUUACACCCCACUUCUCAACCGUUCCCGCCU